rnacentral:rRNA from 1 species
AACGAACGCUGGCGGCAGGCUUAACACAUGCAAGUCGAGCGCCCCGCAAGGGGAGCGGCAGACGGGUGAGUAACGCGUGGGAAUCUACCCAACUCUACGGAAUAACUCAGGGAAACUUGUGCUAAUACCGUAUACGUCCUUAGGGAGAAAGAUUUAUCGGAGUUGGAUGAGCCCGCGUUGGAUUAGCUAGUUGGUGGGGUAAUGGCCUACCAAGGCGACGAUCCAUAGCUGGUCUGAGAGGAUGAUCAGCCACACUGGGACUGAGACACGGCCCAGACUCCUACGGGAGGCAGCAGUGGGGAAUAUUGGACAAUGGGCGCAAGCCUGAUCCAGCCAUGCCGCGUGAGUGAUGAAGGCCCUAGGGUUGUAAAGCUCUUUCACCGGUGAAGAUAAUGACGGUAACCGGAGAAGAAGCCCCGGCUAACUUCGUGCCAG